rnacentral:rRNA from 1 species
CAGGACGAACGACUGGCGGCGUGCCUAACACAUGCAAGUCGAGCGAGGAGAGUCCUUCGGGAUGAUCCUAGCGGCGGACGGGUGAGUAACACGUGGGCAACCUGCCUCAUAGAGAGGAAUAGCCUUCCGAAAGGGAGAUUAAUACCUCAUAACAUUGCAGUUUCGCAUGGAACAGCAAUUAAAGGAGCAAUCCGCUAUGAGAUGGGCCCGCGGCGCAUUAGCUAGUUGGUGAGGUAACGGCUCACCAAGGCGACGAUGCGUAGCCGACCUGAGAGGGUGAUCGGCCACAUUGGGACUGAGACACGGCCCAGACUCCUACGGGAGGCAGCAGUGGGGAAUAUUGCACAAUGGGGGAAACCCUGAUGCAAGCAACGCCGCGUGAGUGAUGACGGCCUUCGGGUUGUAAAGCUCUGUCUUCAGGGACGAUAAUGACGGUACCUGAGGAGGAAGCCACGGCUAACUACGUGCCAGCCGCUGC